UUGUGUGGUGAGUCCUUCAGAGAGACAGGCAGCUGGGACGAGCCCAACUCCUUGCCACAGGUGUGACUUCGGAGAGUCUCAGAAUUUAUUGGAGCCUCUGUUUUCUUGUCUGCAGAACAGGAAUGAGAAGGAAGACUUGUCCUACUCGCCUCGCUGGGUUAUGGUCACGCUUGCUUGUCUCACCCUGAGAGGAGAAUCGGGGCCCAUGUGACCCUCACAGCCUUGGCAUCUCUGCACCUGCUGUGAGCUUCAUGUUACAUUAUUGAUGUGAUGAGAAAAAAAACUGGCUGCCAUCUCCGGUCCUACAGUCUUGGACGUGUGGUAUCUUCAGCCCUGUUUCAAGCCCGGGUGACCAGGUAGGGACUCCCAUGUGUUUGGGGUGUCUCUAAGCCUUGUCUAGAGUUGGAAGUUGGAGUAGACCCACAAGAGACCAAUGGGGCACCUUCCCAGCAGCCUCUGGGAAACCCAUACUUCCACCCCUUUCCAGAACGUGGAAGGGUGAGGACACUUGACCUAGUGAUUGGCAUCUAGAGAACAUGAAGGUCCUCAGACCUGGCUGAGCUGCCCCCUUGAGACCUGCAGGAAGAAGGAAACUGCCCACAAGGCCCAGUAUAGCAGGGUUGGGGCAGGAGCAAACAGCACCCGAUUUUUUAAAAACAACUUUAAAUAACAUUUGAUGUGAUCAUUUUAUGAGGAAAUGUUAUAAAUAGCAUGUCUUAUUGUUCCAAAAAUACGUAAACGACUCUAUAUGUCCAA